UACAUUUAUAAAUAAUAAUAUGAAUAGAAUUUAUAAAAUCAUAUGUUAGAAUAAUAAUUAUAUAAAUUUAUACAUUUAAAACUCUAAAUAUAAUUAACAUAUUUGUGAUUUGUUUUGAUUUUAACGAAUAUUUUGGAGUGGAGAUCUGCAUUCCAAAAUUUUAGUAUUUGUGAUUUGUUUCGAUUUUAACAAAAAAAAAAUUUAAUAUAUGAUUUGUUUCGAAAGUUUACGGAUAUCCAAAUUUUUCGGAUCAAAAACGAAUAACGAAUAAGAUCAAAUUUAACGGAUAAAAUGUAUAUCCUAAGUUACACUAUUAUCUAUACAAAAUACUGAUGAUGAUGAACCUGAUGGAGAAGAGUGAAAAUCUCUCUGAAAAGGCUCAGGAUUCGUAUCUAAUAUAACAUGUCACAACCAGACCUGACUAAACCGAAAAAAUAAAACACAUCAAACAGCUUACAUGCAUCAUCAUCAGUAUAUUCGUCUUCUCCAUCAGGUUAGCUGUAUGGAACUGAAUAAAAAAGAAGAGUGAAAAUCUCUCUGAAAAGGCUCAGGAUUCGUAUCUAAUAUAACUGAGCGAGUGCAGUGAUUAGACCCAAGGUGAUUAGACUUCCUAAAGAACACGUCUUGGAAAAAAUGAUAAUUAUCCAGUAAAAAAAGACAACGCGUCACAUUAUAUCAUAUCUUAAGAAAAAUACUAUUGCUCUCUGUAAAUUAGUUACUGGAGAGAAAAAAAAACUUGAGAGAUUACUUGAUCUCAUCAACAAUGGCGGUUCAACCACUUCUCCAAAAUCCAACGCACCUUUCUUCGUCGUAUCUCUUGCUAGCCACAACUCCAAUCCGAUCAUCCCUGAUGCGUUUUUUACCACUCACUUAGACGGUAAUAACGAGUUAACGAAACUGAAGUUGACCUCUGACGCUUGCGACACAACCUGGCAAGUCAAACUGAACGACCGGAGAUUCGCCCACGGUGGGGAGAUUUCUCCAACGCUCACUGUCUUCGAAACGUCGACGUUUUGCUUUUCAGAGAGGACGGGGAAAUGAUCUACCACGUCACACCUUCCGGAAGAAUUUUCUCUCAGAUUCAGGCCCAGUUAGUUUCUACAUCUCAGAAGGUGCAUCCAAAUGGAUCAGUCAGAUGCUCUACCUCGAUGUUGUUCGUUUGUACAUUUAGAUAAUGCAUCUAGAUGAAGCAUCCGGAUGCAGCUGCAUUCGUUUGUUCAUUUUUUUUGAACUUACAUUUGCAUCCAAAUGCAGUUGAUGACAAAAUGACUAAAAUGAACAUGUAUUUAAUUUAUCUAUAUCUUACUCUUAAAUCAUGAUUAUUAUUUAUAUUAAUCCUGUUAAUUUUAA